AGCUGUUAUGGAUUUGAGCCAAAUCAUCUUCUUUUUGGUCUGUAGAAAUCGCUUUAGUUAAUCUCUCUGGAAUCCAAAUCAGCUGCUGUUCUCCCUGUGGAAACACACAAACAGACCUCCGACUCCAGACAAUCACUGGGUCAGGACCUUUCCAUUGUCCUGUUAGAAUAUCCUUCCAAAGUACCUUGGGCUUAUGUACAUUUUUUGGACACAUAUGCCUUUCCACAGCACUAAGCCCUGAUGAAACCAAAUUU
rnacentral:lncRNA from 1 species